UUGGAAUGUGGAUGUAAGGCUGGAGCUCCACCUGAGACCGUGGAGAAAAGGGCCUCAUUCAAGGGAUAGCGGAGUGGAAAGCCAGAAGCAUAUGGACCCCACAUUUCCACACCAUCUCUGAACAUCCUACCUCUGGACUUCAGUGGGAGAGCUGACUCACUUCCCUGCCAGUGCUUACUGAAAUCACCUUCCAGGGACGAUGAAAGCACCAGGGUCCAGCUGCACUCCUACCUUCGGUCGUGACAUGACGCGAUUCCUCAGGGUCCGAUUCAAACCGCCACCUCACCGGGCAGGAGCCUUUGCGUCCUGUUGCCAAGGCGACGGAGGGGGUGCCCGGACCCGCCGCUCUGAUUGGAUGAGCCAAGAGCACUUCUUCUGGAGCGGUCGGCGGAUCCGAGAGGCAGGAAGCCAUUGCACGCCCCGGUGGCCCAGACCCCUCCACUCCCGCAAAACUUUCUCCCAGCCCCACGCCUCCGAAGCCGUAGGACACUCCCGGCCAGAGUCUGCCGCGGGCAUUCACGGCCCAGAGCCCCUUCCAGCUGAACUCCGCUUGACCCGAGAGCGCUGAGUCUGAAAAGUUGUCAGCUUUUGGAAAAUGCAAUGGUUCUGUUUCCUUACUCCGGCCCUCGCUAAGUCCCCUGGUCAGUUAGUUGGUCAGUUAGUUGAUCAGUUGAUAACGCUGCCAGUCACUUCUGCUCUCUCCAGCCACUCUGUAAUUCUGAGCACCGACUCUGCCAGCGCUCACCUCAACGCCUGCAGGAGCCACCUACCUGGCCGGUCUACUAGUGACCGCUAUUGCCCUGCCCAUUCCAGUUUCGUUCUCUGCACUGCGGGCAAAGAGCUCUUUCAAACACAAAUCCGACCUUCGUUCUCCCCUGCAUAUAACCUGAAGUGGCAACUUAUUGAUCAAUGCACUCUGUACUGGCUCCCUGUCCUCCCACCCCCCCACCCCCCCACCCCCACU